rnacentral:rRNA from 1 species
AGAACGAACGCUGGCGGCAUGCCUAACACAUGCAAGUCGAACGCUCACCGGGCUUCGGUUCGGUGGGAGUGGCGCACGGGUGAGUAGCGCGUGGGAACCUGCCCUGUUGUGGGGGAUAACCGAGGGAAACUUCGGCUAAUACCGCAUGCGCCCGGGGAAACCCGGGGAAAGAUUUAUCGCAGCAGGAGGGGCCCGCGUCGGAUUAGGUAGUUGGUGGGGUAACGGCCCACCAAGCCGAUGAUCCGUAGCUGGUCUGAGAGGAUGAUCAGCCACACUGGGACUGAGACACGGCCCAGACUCCUACGGGAGGCAGCAGUGGGGAAUAUUGGACAAUGGGGGCAACCCUGAUCCAGCAAUGCCGCGUGAGUGAUGAAGGCCUUAGGGUUGUAAAGCUCUUUCGCCCGCGACGAUGAUGACGGUAGCGGGAGAAGAGCCCGGCUAACUUCGUGCCAGCAGCCGC